GACGAACGCUGGCGGCGCGCUUAACACAUGCAAGUCGAACGGAAAGGCCUGCUUUCCCUUGUGGAUUGCGGGUACUCGAGUGGCGAACGGGUGAGUAACACGUGAGUGAUCUGCCCCCAACUUGGGUAUAAGCCUGGGAAACUGGGUCUAAUUCCCGAUAGGACUGCAGGGUGGUGCCUGUGGUGGAAAACGAUUUUCUAGUGGUUGGGGAUGAGCUCGCGGCCUAUCAGCUUGUUGGUGGGGUAAUGGCCUACCAAGGCGGCGACGGGUAGCCGGCCUGAGAGGGUGGACGGCCACAUUGGGACUGAGAUACGGCCCAGACUCCUACGGGAGGCAGCAGUGGGGAAUAUUGCACAAUGGGCGGAAGCCUGAUGCAGCGACGCCGCGUGGGGGAUGACGGCCUUCGGGUUGUAAACUCCUUUCGACCGCGAGGAAGCCACCUGGUUGGAAGGGUGGUGACGGUAGUGGUAGAAGAAGCACCGACUAACUACGUG
rnacentral:rRNA from 1 species